GGGGGGCUUACAACAAUUGUCCUAUUACCUCUGAUGCUGACAACAAUAUAACUGGUUGUAUGUGCUCGAGGCAAAUUAUAUUUGGGACAAUGGAGUUACCCCCCAAUUUCAAGUCUGCUCACUUUACAUUAUAACACCUGUGCACCUAUAAGCAAAGGAUUCACUCACUUGAGUGUGAGUUCUUGUGAUUGAUAGACAUGUGCAUAUUGUGUACAUUUUUCUCUAGUCUUAUAGGCAAGAGAAGUGUAUAGUAUUGUGUGUCUUGCAAAUGAUCUUACUGAGGGAUAUUGACACAUCCCAAAGGAGGGCAAUAGCAAUGGAUUUCACAUGAUGUAUAAUGUUAUAUUGACGCAAAGAAUGUGCACUUGAGUGUGAAUGGACUUUGUCUUUGAUAUACACAAACACACUUGCAUCUGUCUUGUAGAAUGAAAUGGGAAUGUUUAUUACAACUUUCAACAAUGGAUCUCUUGGCUCUGGCAUCGAUGAAGAACGCAGCGAAAUGCGAUAAGUAAUGUGAAUUGCAGAAUUCAGUGAAUCAUCGAAUCUUUGAACGCACCUUGCACUCCUUGGGUCACCUAUGGAGUAUGCCUGUUUGAGUGUCAUAAUGAUCUCAAUUCCCUCAGGUUUUUGUAAUGAAAGCUUGCUUAGGUGAAUUGGACUUGGAGGUUUCAAUGCAGGUCCCCCCCCUGCCAUAAGAUUAUUAGGGGGGGGAUCAGCUCCUCUUAAAUGGAUUAAGCUAGAGAAAUGAAGGCAAAAUGGGGCUCUUUAGCACUUUUUCACUUGCUUUAUUGGUGUAAUAAUUGUUCCAUCAAAUAGCAUUUCUGGGUGAAAUUAGUGUGUAUGACGAGAGUACUGUUGUAGUCUUGCUCUGCUUUUGAAAACAAU
rnacentral:misc_RNA from 1 species